AUGGCGGGCCGCGACGGAUUCGAGGACGACGACUUCAACCUCCCUUUGUCGUCGCCACCGCGUCGUCCGUCGCUGCCGCCGGAGAAGGAGGAGGCCGGACCCGGACCCAUGGCUGGCCGCGACGGAUUCGAGGACGACGACGUCAACCGCCUGCAGUCGCCGCCACCGCGUCGUCCAUCGCCGCCUUCGAAGAAGGAGGAGGCCGGACCCAUGGCGGGCCAAGACGGAUUCGAGGACGGCGACGUCAACCGCCCACAUUCGUCGCCCCCGCGACGUCCAUGGCCGCUGUCGGAGAAGGAGGAGGCCGGACCCAUGGCGGGCCGCAACGACUUCGAGGACGACGACGUCAACCCCUUCGCCGGAGGAAGCGUUCCCCCUGCCCCCAGUUCUCGGCUCUCACCUCUCUCCCACGAGCCAGCGGGUUUUUAUAAUGUGGACAUUCCUAUGGAUUCAACUAAGAUUCCUUCGUGGACAGAGUCAGCAGGCGGCGGGGCAACCGAAGUUCGUCUCUACAAGAGAUCAUCCUAUGGAUCGGCGCUGAUUCAAAUAGCAGCUCUUGCCCCUGUUGCACCACCCCGAGCUGUGGAGGGCGGCUCCGAUGACCCCGACCAAGAGUUCGCCGGCGAGCCUGCUUUGUAUCUGGCAGUGGUCCAAGACGGCCACACCAUCGACAUCGCGCGGCUGCUAUUCCACGGCGGCGAGCCUGCGCUGGAAGUGGACAUGGCCGAGGACUACUAUGCAGCGGCGGAAUUCAGUUCCAGCGAAGGCGACCAGUCCCUCCCCCUCGACGACUAUGGGAUGGUGAAAUCCAGCUCCAGCGAAGAUGACUGGGCCCUCCCAUCACUAGGUGGUGCUAUGUCCUUUUUGGGAAGGCUGGGGUGCAAGGAGUACUCGGGGAUUGGGGAUGGGGACUGGGACUGGGACAGGGAUGAGGAUGAUGAGGAUGAGGACGAGGAUAUGGAUGCGGAUGAGGAAAAGGAUGAGACUGGGAAUGUGGAUGGGGUGGAUGUGGAUGUAGCAGUUUCUGGAGGUUAUGAUAGUGGAGGUGAUUGCAAGGAGGGUGAUGGAGAGGAGGAGGAACAUGGGGAUACUCACCAAGAUACAAUUAAGCUUCGAGUUUGGCCAGCACAGAAGCACCUGCUGCUUAAAUUUUUUAGUGGCAAGCAAUGGAAAUUAACAAAAGCCUAUCGUAUAAUCUGGCUAAACCGUGAUGAACUGGAAGAGCUCUGCAAAUUCUCUUUCAAAAUUGAUGCUACUGCUCCUGAUCCUUUUUCUACAAGCAGCGUUUUCAGAAAUGUGAACAGUUCAAUUGAUUUUGAAACGAACAAUGUUCCUUCUGCAAUUUUUGAUGAUUUUGUAGCUUUUUUGAAACCGUCAAUCAACACUUUCAAAGUCUGUAAAGAACUUGGCGAAGGCAAUGAUUGCAAGAUUUUUAAGUGCCUUGUUUCGGGUAGUAAAUGUGCUGUUAAGUGUAUCCCUUUGCAUCCAUCUUGCAUCGAAGAGCCUAGGGAGGUUAAUAUCAUUUCAAGUUUAAGGAAUGGGCGCAUUAUGAUGCUUUAUCAGUCCUGGAUAGAGCCAUGGAACUACAAAAGGCAUCCUCGACAAGAAGAUUACCUGUUUCUCCAUCUAGAGCUCUGCUCAAGCACAUUGGCGAAUGCACUUUUGCCUGAAAAGUUUGACACAAUUCCGGAUAGGUGGAAACUUUUCGAAGAGAUAGUAAGAGGUGUCGAAACACUGCAUAAUGAAUUUAUUGUGCACCGGGAUCUCAAGCCAGAUAACAUAUUUCCUGGCCAUGAUCAUGAAGUCCGAAUUGGAGACUUCGGAGAUGCCUGUUGUGGCCAAGAUGAAUUCGGAAAAUAUGGUGGUACGCCUAACUGCGGGACAAAAAGUUAUUUGGCGCCAGAGCUAGACAGUGGUGAGAAGAUAACCGAGAAGGUGUUAUACUCAGUUGGUGUAAUGUUUUUUGAGCUGCUGACACCUUUUACUACUGGACUUGGGAGAAUGAAAGCAUUUGAGAAGCUGCGAGAUGAAGGGCCUCCGGAUGGCUGGAAGGGUGACCAUGAGGGCGACCGCGAAUUCUAUGGUAGAAUGACUGCUUUGGUACCUGCUGACCGGCCUUCGGCGGAUGGUUUAUUUUUGCGCUCACAAUAA
rnacentral:rRNA from 1 species